GGGGGGGGGGGGGGGGGUGGUGGGGACGUGGGGGGCGAGCGGGGGGGCGCGGGGGUUGUGGGGUGGGCGGGUGGCGGAGGGGGGAGGGACACGUGGGUACCAUGCCCCUGACAUUGGGGUAGCUUGCGGGCCAUGGGGCGAGUACAUGAGAUGCGCUCGUGCAUCGUGGUGUGGGUUGGAGAGAUUCGGCGGGUGGGGAUGGCAUCGCGGAUUAACAGCUGGCUGGUGGGGUAGGUGCUUAACAGGGCUGUGACGGGUAGCCGGCCUGAGAGUGUGACCGGCUACAUGGGGACUGAGAUACGGCCCAGACUCCUACGGGACGCAGCAGGGGGGAAUAGUGCAGAAUGGGCGGAAGCCUGAUGCAGCAACGCCGCGUGCGGGAUAACGGCCUUCGGGUUGUAAACCGCUGUCGCCUGUGACGAAGCGUGAGUGACGGUAAUGGGUAAAGAAGCACCGGCUAACUACGUG
rnacentral:rRNA from 1 species